rnacentral:rRNA from 1 species
GAUGAACGCUGGCGGCGUGCUUAACACAUGCAAGUCGAACGGUGAAGCAGAGCUUGCUCUGUGGAUCAGUGGCGAACGGGUGAGUAACACGUGAGCAACCUGCCCCUGACUCUGGGAUAAGCGCUGGAAACGGCGUCUAAUACUGGAUAUGAGCUGCGACCGCAUGGUCAGCAGUUGGAAGGAUUUUUCGGUCUGGGAUGGGCUCACGGCCUAUCAGCUUGUUGGUGAGGUAAUGGCUCACCAAGGCGUCGACGGGUAGCCGGCCUGAGAGGGUGACCGGCCACACUGGGACUGAGACACGGCCCAGACUCCUACGGGAGGCAGCAGUGGGGAAUAUUGCACAAUGGGCGAAAGCCUGAUGCAGCAACGCCGCGUGAGGGAUGACGGCCUUCGGGUUGUAAACCUCUUUUAGCAGGGAAGAAGCGAAAGUGACGGUACCUGCAGAAAAAGCGCCGGCUAACUACGUG